CAUCACCUCUCUCGUAGACAGUGUAAAUAGAAAUAUGGACACGUUUUUUCAAGACAUCGAUUCCUGUUGUAUUAAUCGUGACGUCUUUUGCGUGAAUGGUUUGUCGUAGAAAGUUAGUUACGUCAUCAAAACAUGGAAACCUUAACUGGAAUUGACGUACAAUUUUAUAGUCCUGAAUGGUUCGUCAUUAAACGGCUCUUUAUCAAGACACACACAAAAAAAAACCCUACUUAAUCGUAACUAGAUUAUCACGAUUGUUGACGUUAUUGCCAGCACUACUGAUAGUCAGUGUAUACAAGUCAGGAAAAAAAAUCGUCGCAAUACGGACAGGCUCCCGUAUUUAGUUACACACUUGUGUCCAAAAUGAACAGACAGAGGCUGAAUGUUAUCCACUGGGUCCUCUUUCCUAGUCUGAUUAUGAAUUCAAGGCUGUUGGAUCUCAUCGACUGAGCUAUGCCAAGCAUUGUCUCUGCAGAUUAGUGACACUUCUGGACCAUUCCGGCUAAUAUUACUAGUUCUUGUAGUCACUCUGAGAAUUUACACAGAAAGAUACAAGAAAAACAUUGGCUUUCUGCUUCAUACUUCAGUGGAUUUUCAUCACAACAUUGCCUAAUGCAGAACAAGCUGACAGCCCAGACGGAGGAGAUAAAAGAAAGAAAAGAUGAGAUUGAUGCCUUAAAGGAACAAAUUGACAAGAUCAACCAGUUAUUUAAUGACACCAAGAAUGAGCUACAGACCAAAACCUCAGAACUGGAAGAAAAGUCCCAAGCUUUGGUCAAGACCACAAACGUACUCCAACAUACUCACAAGGUAAAGCCAAAAUA